GCCUCGGUGGUGUAAUGGUAGUAGCACGCGUAUCCGGUAUGGACGAAACUGCGGGUUCGAUACCCUCCUAAGGACG